GAGUUUGAUCAUGGCUCAGAUUGAACGCUGGCGGCAUGCCUUACACAUGCAAGUCGAACGGCAGCACGGGAGCUUGCUCCUGGUGGCGAGUGGCGAACGGGUGAGUAAUGCAAUCGGAACGUAUCCUGGAGUGGGGGAUAACGUAGCGAAAGUUACGCUAAUACCGCAUAUUCUGUGAGCAGGAAAGCGGGGGACCUUCGGGCCUCGCGCUCUUGGAGCGGCCGAUGUCGGAUUAGCUAGUUGGUGAGGUAAAGGCUCACCAAGGCGACGAUCCGUAGCAGGUCUGAGAGGAUGAUCUGCCACACUGGAACUGAGACACGGUCCAGACUCCUACGGGAGGCAGCAGUGGGGAAUUUUGGACAAUGGGGGCAACCCUGAUCCAGCCAUGCCGCGUGAGUGAAGAAGGCCUGGUUGUG
rnacentral:rRNA from 1 species